CUCCGGGGCGGUGGCCUCCCAGGAGAUCUGAGGGAGGGAGCCGCGCUCCGCAGGCUCAGGGAUCCCGGCGGCUCCGGACGACUGCGGACAUGCAAAGGCCCUGGGGCAGAGCGCAGGCAGCUUCCUUCUAGAAAUAAUAGGAACCACAGGCCAGUAGCUACAUGCAUAAAGACGUGAACCGGGGUUUUUGAAAAAGAAACGAAACGCAGACGGCCUUUAAACACAGCGGAGGGACUCGCCUCGGUCAGAUACAAACGAAGCCACCACGGAAGGCAGUUGUCCUCCCACCUUUUAGGUUAGUAAAGAUGAAGACAUUUGUUAAUUCGCUGUGUCGCUGGGGCUUGGGGACAGCAGUCUCACUGCCAUCCCCCUGCCUCACAGCCGCUGUGGAGCCCUUGUCCUGAGCUCGCGGAACCAGGGGACGCCGAGGCCCAGAGCGGGUAGCAUGGCGUCCCUGGCCAGUCCCUGGCCCCUGGUCGCUCUCCGCAGAGGAGGUGGGCGGGCCGGCUCGGCCUGCAGAACCGGUCACCAGGCCCGGCCACCUCCCCUGCCAGGCUGACCUCGGGCCUCGCCCAUCAGCUGCUGGCACCUGGGCGGGUCAGAGGGAGGCCCAGGGACGCGUGGCUGGGACAGACGGUAAUUGUGACCUCGUCGUGACAUCAGGAAAAGCAGGUCCUCUGCCUGGCGGCUGGGAUGGCGGGAUGGUGACCUCGACUUGCCGCGGAAUGUCCUGGUUGGGUGGCAGACGCAGGCGGGCGGUGACAGGCUCCUGGGUGUGGGUGCCCGGCUCCGGGCCCUGGGGACGCGUCCCUCCCGCCGAGCCUUCUGCCAUCCAGGCUGCGGCCACCGCGGCCCCCUGCCGUCAGGGAUUGCAGUCCUCCUGCCUCAGCCUCCGCGGAGCCGGGCAGCGGCGGGCCCGGCCUUCGCCAGUGAGGAGCCGCCCCUCGGUGGGGUCAGGGCAGAGGGGGCCGUGAGGAGCCUCGGGGCCGUGAGGGCUCAGAGGGACGGAGGAAGUCCCUCAGCAAGCGGGACGCAGGGGGCCGGGCAGCGGGGACGGGGCUGCGCCCACCAACUCCGCAGGCAGGUGCGGGCGGGGCCGCUGGGUAGGUGCCCUCCACCACUGUCCCCAGCAGCGCCUCGCCCCACGACCCUGGACAUGGAGCACGGUUCCCGUCAAGGGCCACCUGGGUGGUCUCCAGGAGGGGCAAGAGGAGGAGGCGUGAAGUUCGUUUUUCCCUCGCGUCUGCCAUCCAGGGACUCGGGAGGCUGAGGCAGGAGGAUGGCAAGUUGGAGGCCAGCCUGGGCAACCUCGGGAGGCCCUGUCUCAAAAGGAAAAGGGCUGGGCUGCGGCUCCGUGCAGAGCGCUGGCCUUCCCAGCCCCGGGCUCUGACCCAGCCACAAAAAGAAGAAAGGAAAAAAAUGAGGCCCACGUCCCCGAAGCCACCCAGGAAGGUGGGCGCAGAGGCUGCAGCAGGCAGGAGUGAGUCCCCUGCCGGGCGGCACAGGAAGGAGUGGCGUGCUGGGCGGUGGCUUCCAGGACGGAGAGUCCUCUGGGUGCUGACUGACAGGCAGGGCGGCCCGCGGGGCUGGACUGGCCCUGAGCGGCCACCGGACCCAGGUUGAGGUGCUGGAGGGAGGAGCUCGCACACCCCGGGUCCCCCGGGGCCCUGUCCAGGGACACUCCAUGGGGCUGGGGGGGCGGGUGCCCCUGUGGCUCCGGGGAAGAUGCAGGAGACGGGGGAGGGGACGUUCUGCUAAUGCCACCACCUGUCAACAGCCACAGGACCGUGGGGUUGUCCCUGACAGCCAGGGCCGUGGAUGGCGGUCACCCCACCAGAUGCACAGACACAGAGACCGCACAGGCACACAGGACACGCACACGCAGGACCCAGGGCCUUGGCCUGGGCACUCGGGAGACCCUGGGUCCCAGCGGGAGCCUCUCCAGCCUCCACUGUGUCCCAGGGCCUCCUCCAAGGGGUGGCCGGCCGGGAGGGGACAGGCAGGCCCGUAGCACAGCAUGGCUCUUGGGCGCCACCCAGUGGGCAGGAGGGGAUCUGGGGUCUUCCGGUCUCACCUGUCCCUCCAGUGUGUCUCCUGGGCCAUCUCUUCUGUCCCCACCUCCGCCUGCUGCCCCUCUCCCCCCAGGCCCCCGCCCAGAGCGCGUGUCCCAGUCUGCACUUGGACUCGGUGGCUGCACACCCGACGCGCACCGCCCUCCCCUGGGCCCUGUCCCCUGAUGCAUCCCGUGUGGGACGCCAUCUUGCUGACCGCUGGGGCUGCUGGCAGGACGGUCAGCCUCCUGGGCUUCGCUGCCCGCCAGCUCGCACGCUUGGCCCUCGGGGCAGGGACUCCGAGGGGCAGGCUGCACCCCGCCGAGCCCGGCCCUGAGCCGGCUCACCCCGCCACGGCCCCGUGGCCUGGGGAGGGCGGAGCGCAGAGCCCGGGGUCCUGGACCCCCAGGAGGCCGGCCUCCUCUCCAGGGCCCCAGACUUGCCGUGGCUCCCUACUGGCCUUCAGGCUGGUGACCCUUCCCUGAGGGGGCGGUCAGCUCCCCUUGGCCCUCAAGUCCCCUGUGCUCCGUGUGUGUCCCCCAGGUGUGGCACCCUUUCCUUCCUGGCGCCUGGCCACCCUGGGGAGCAGGACUCAGGUGCAUGGGCCAUGGCCACCUCCCUGGCACCGGCCGAGCCAGGGCGGGGUCCUGGGGCGUUUUCCCGGCCGGGCUCUGGAGCCUGGAUCUGGGACCACGGUGCAGCUUCCCAGUCAUAGGGCCUCGGGGACAUUUUCUGAGCCACUUGUGACCUCCGCCCGCCCUGCUGGGUCUGCUCUGUGAGCCUCGGGCCUGGCUGCAGCCUUCAGAAGCCCGAGGCCUGUGUCUCUGUGGCUAGGCACACGGGGCGCCCCGCAGCGCCAGAGUCUGCUGGCAAGGUGUGUGACCCCAGGACCGCGCAGGCUCCCGACGCCAUCCUUGGCUCCCUGCACUCGAGUGGCCAAACCGCGGCCUCCUCCUAAAAAUUGCUAAUGGGCCGCUGUGGGGGACGGUCCAGCGGGGACGAGUGGGAGCCUGACCCCUGGGGAGGGGUCUCUGGCAGGUGGCUGGGGCUGCUGUGGCCCGUGCAGAGCGCUGGCCAAGCGCGUGCCAGGCCCUGGGCUCAGGAAGCAGCCAGGUGGGCAGCACCAGUGGAGGCCACCGGGUGACAUAGGUGCUGUGCACACGCGGGAGGUCGUGGGGCCUGGUUUCCCUGGGGUCUUCUGUGGCGGGGUGCAGGGGUCGGCCCGCUCUGCUGCCCACUCUGCUUCAGGACGAAGCUCGGGCAGUGGGGCCUGCACCCAGGCUGGGGGCCUGUCCUCACCGAGGUCCCCAGGGGGCCAGCGUGCAGAGCCUGGGGACCCAGGCCAGGUGGAGCAUCGAGGCCCAGGGUGCUCUCUGGGCCCCUGGAGGACCCCAUGCCCCCCCCGGCCUAGCUGUCCCCUGGAGUCCCCAUAUGAGGUGUUUUCUCUUGAGAGGCCCUCUAGUGACGCUGCCCUUGACACUAUCUGGGGGACGGCGGCAAGCAGCCUAACAGGGCGCUCACCCUGAGCUCUGGGGGCUCCAAGGUGGUGAACACAGAAUUUAGCGAGUGGCGAAGGUGACACGGCUCUGUAGCCGCGCAGCCGUCGGUGAGGGGCCACCUGGUCCUGCCACCCCCCAAACCAAACUCCAGAGCACCUGAGCCCUGUUCCUGUAGGGCUCCCCGGGACUGUCAACAUUUAUGGAGCACUUACUGUAUGCCAGGCACGAUUCUGAGCCUCUUCUGUGGCUACACCACUGCUCAUAGAUCACGGAUGGCGCGCGAUCCUUCUUCAGGUGGAGCCGCCGAGGCACAGCUGGUGGCCAACCGUGUGGGCAGACAGCAAGGUGGCAUCGCGAGCACUCUGGCUCCCGCACGGGCCUUCCCAGGUGCUCCCCCCCCCCGCUCACUCCUGGGAGGCCGCCAAUGCUUUCCUCCUUUUAAAAAAAGGAUCUGGGGGGGCUGGGGAUGUGGCUCAAGCGGUAGCACGCUUGCCUGGCAUGCGUGCGGCCCGGGUUCGAUCCUCAGCACCACAUACAAACAAAGAUGUUGUGUCCGCCGAAAACUAAACAUCCAUAUCUCUCUCUCUCAAAAAAAAAAAAAAAAAAAAGAAAAUAAAAGAAAAAGAA